rnacentral:rRNA from 1 species
UACGAAGGGGGCGAGCGUUAUUCGGAAUCACUGGGCGUAAAGCGUGCGUAGGCUGUUCGGUAAGUCAGAAGUGAAAGCCCAAGGCUCAACCUUGGAAGCGCUUUUGAAACUACCGGACUCGGAUUUGGGAGAGGAUAGCGGAAUUGUCAGUGUAGCAGUGAAAUGCGUAGAUAUUGACAGGAACACCAGUGGCGAAGGCGGCGACCUGGGCCAAUACUGACGCUGAGGUGCGAAAGCGUGGGGAGCAAACAGG